AGCGCAGGCGGUUUCUUAAGUCUGAUGUGAAAGCCCCCGGCUCAACCGGGGAGGGUCAUUGGAAACUGGGAGACUUGAGUGCAGAAGAGGAGAGUGGAAUUCCAUGUGUAGCGGUGAAAUGCGUAGAUAUAUGGAGGAACACCAGUGGCGAAGGCGGCUCUCUGGUCUGUAACUGACGCUGAGGCUCGAAAGCGUGGGAGCAAACA
rnacentral:rRNA from 1 species